rfam:Triticum aestivum genome assembly, contig: Triticum_aestivum_CS42_TGACv1_scaffold_513674_6BS
CAAGUACUCCCUCCGUCCGAAAAUAUUUGUCAUUGAAAUAGAUGUAUCUAGAUAUAUUUUAGUUCUAGAUACAUCCAUUUUCAUCCAUUUUGAUGACAAGUAUUUCCGGACGGAGUAGCAUGUU